rnacentral:lncRNA from 1 species
GAACAGACUGGACAUUAGGCAGUUGAAGCACUGGUUUGACUACUAGUUUUAGGCUGGAUCCUGAAGUUUGUUCCGUCAAUAUUCAUGCAUUGUGGACCAAAUCCUGUAAAAAAGUCAAGUGGGAGAUGAUGCCGAUAGAUAGGAGCCAUUAUUGGUUGUCCCUGUUAAGUUGUUCUAGAGACCGAAGAAUCCAGCCAUAUGCCCUAGUGCAACGAGUGGCGAAGGAGGAGAAUUUCGUACAAGUCAACGUGGGGUAUGAAUAGGAGUGGGCGUUCGGUUCCCCCGAACCGAACAGUUCGGUGCUUUGGUGUGUUUUAAUUUUCGGUUCCCAGAAUAUAUGGACCGAUCGGUCUCUAUUUUUUAACAUAACCGAAAGUUUGGUUCCUAUAUCAUUCGGUUCGGUCAUCGGUUCUGGACCGAACAAACCUGCUACUACAAGAGGGUCCACUCGGCUGGCCUGCGAUUGAAGACAAGGCGCUGGUCUCGGCUGGUUGGCUAGAAUAGCUGCUAGUGCUAGAUUGACUGGGAACUGUUUGUUAUCUGGCCUACUAGCAAACAAAUGUCAGAUCCACUCAUAAAAAAGUAAAGAAACGUGAGACAUGCACGUAAAGUGUGUGAGAGGUACACACAGGCACAUGCGCACAGUUUCCCCUGACAAAAAACUAGAGACAUCCGUACACUGCAC